UGAUGGAUUGAUUGAAAGCCAGGCAGCGGUUUUGGGUGCUCGGACUUCUAUAUCUUGGUCUCGAGCUGCUCUUAAAUACAUCAUUUUUGCACUUUCUGGACAUAUGGAUGAUGUAUUAGCUGCGUAUAAGCAUACGGUGAAUAUUUCCUCGCAGUCUCACUGGUUAGAAAGAUGGGCAUGAAAAGAUGUUCAAAAGUGACGGUUCAUCAAACAUCUUUAUCGAAUAUGAUGAGGAAGUUGAUUUUCCGAGUAUCUCCUCUCCGGGAUCUCCAGGCUCCUUUAAGUGGGAAGGAUUGCAGGUACCAUUAGUCCACUAACGUGUGAUAGAAAGAAGCCUUAUGUAUGGGUUCAACCACUGUUAAAUUUGUUGGUCAUGCCUUAUCCCAUAAAAAAUUAACAUCUUUUUAAAAUGUCACAAAAACAUAGUUUGAAGCUGCUCAGGUUGCGGCCUUCAGGAGGGAAAAGAAGGAACAAAUAACAAUGCAGUUAUUGGCUGCUGAAAUUCAGGCAGCAAUGUAAUUGGUGAGGGAUCUGAUUUCAUAUCUUGCAUGAUAAAUCUAGCUUUUUCUUUGCUUUCAGGAAAUUGUCUUUGAAAAAUUUCGGUUUGAUCUCUACUUUGGGCAUGCCAAACGAAAGGAAGAUGAAAUUCAGAAUCGGAAAAUGCUUCUUUGAUUUCGCGAGGCCGAAAUCAAAUGGUUGGAGGAAGUUGCAUCUGGCAAGAUCUUAGCUGAGGUGCAUCUCUUACAGGAAAAGAAGGAAUAUCUGAAAGAGAUAGAGGUUCUCCAUACCCAGGAAGAUAGGAACCUUGAAGUGACUAGAUAUUCAAUGGAAAAUCUUCGUUAGAAAGAAGAAGUUAGAAGGCAUGUGUUUCUUUCUUCCGCUCAAUCUGAUUUUAUAUUCUUUCCACUAGACGUUAUGCUACCCUUUGUUAUUUGAUUCCAGUCUUA